rnacentral:lncRNA from 1 species
CUAUCAAAGAAGAUAGUAUAUUAGUAAAACAUUUUGUCCAACUAUAAUAAGAACUAUGCAGUUGGAAUUUUAUACAAUACCUACUGAAGGUCUUAUUUUCUACUUAGAACCUUAUCUUUGUUUUACAAUAAAUAUUAUUUUAGGACCUAAACAUCACAAAGUCUUUGCCUUGUAAGAUUCAAGAGCCUCAACAUGCUUUUUAUAUGAAGACUUUUUAGAAAAAUUAUAUUUUUAAUGAAGAAAAUUAAACUUAUUUACAUAGAACUUAUAGAUGAUUGUUCAUUGUCUUUAGGAGAUGUUAUUUAUGAAAUAAUUUCUAUAUAAGUAAUAAUUAAUGGUUACAUUAGCUUUGUAAUAUUUAAUAUCAUUAGAUCUUUUACUAAUUCAAUUAUUUUAGGUUUAUCAUAGCUAAAAUAAUAUAAUUCUAAAAUAGAUUGGAUUUCUUAUAGUCUUAAUUUUUUUAAAAGUAUAAUUUAGAGUAUAGUUGAUUAAGUAAAAGUCUAU